rnacentral:rRNA from 1 species
AGAGUUUGAUCAUGGCUCAGAUUGAACGCUGGCGGAAUGCUUUACACAUGCAAGUCGAGCGGCAGCGCGGUCUUCGGACUGGCGGCGAGCGGCGAACGGGUGAGUAAUACAUCGGAACAUGCCCAGUCGUGGGGGAUAACACUUCGAAAGAAGUGCUAAUACCGCAUACGUCCUGAGGGAGAAAGCGGGGGAUCGCAAGACCUCGCGCGAUUGGAGUGGCCGAUGUCAGAUUAGCUAGUUGGUGGGGUAAAGGCCUACCAAGGCAACGAUCUGUAGCUGGUCUGAGAGGAUGAUCAGCCACACUGGGACUGAGACACGGCCCAGACUCCUACGGGAGGCAGCAGUGGGGAAUUUUGGACAAUGGGGGCAACCCUGAUCCAGCCAUUCCGCGUGAGUGAAGAAGGCCUUCGGGUUGUAAAGCUCUUUCGGCAGGAACGAAACGGCGAGCUCUAACAUAGCUCGCUAAUGACGGUACCUGAAGAAGAAGCACCGGCUAACUAC